rnacentral:rRNA from 1 species
UACAGAGGUCUCAAGCGUUGUUCGGAAUUACUGGGCGUAAAGCGCGUGUAGGCGGUUCAUUAAGUCAGAUGUGAAAUCCCGGGGCCUAACUCCGGAAGUGCAUUUGAAACUGAUGAGCUGGAGUGAUGUAGAGGAUGGCGGAAUACCCAGUGUAGUGGUGAAAUACGUAGAGAUUGGGUAGAACACCGGUGGCGAAGGCGGCCAUCUGGGCAUUAACUGACGCUGAGACGCGAAAGCGUGGGGAGCAAACAGG